GUAGAAGAUAUCCUCCUAGAUCUCUAAAUGUCAGAACAUCCCUAAAAAGAAGUACGCAUUCAUCAGGAUAAAAAGGGGGAAGCCGGAAGUUGCACGGUGUCAGACCUGGUGAGUAAAGUAGAUGAGGAUAUGCUGUAAUGUUUUUAUUUGACAGAUAACUGCUGUAAAUAUUUUGAAUCUGUUCAGGCCAUUGAAGCAACCAUGAAAAGAUACUCAUGAGAGAUGACUGUCCUUCAGGAAACUGGCAUCAGGAUGGGGUUGAACUACAGGACACCCAAUUUGAGUUGAAAUUGGAGAGUCACAGAUAGCCCACAUAACAUUCCUGAGAGAUGGGUGCUCUUCGGACCCUAAUGUGCAGGGAGGAAACAGAUAAGUGAUGCUGCACUGCUAAAAAUGGUUCUGGGACUUCUGGAUUCCAAAUUUCAAACCGUCUCCUCUACAUAGUUGUCUUGUAAAUAUCUCAGAUAGGCAAAUUAAAAAAAUCAGUUUUGUUGUAGGAGAAGUGUUAGAGAGUCAUUGUUUUGGGGAAGGGGCUUAUUACAUUCAUGGUGAAACUCUGAAAAUGGAGCUGAAGGGAAAAUACACUCACUUAAAAUCCUCUGUAAAAUAAAAAAUUGAAGGAAAUGAAAAUGCAGAAAUACUCCUAGAAGCUGGACAGUAUGUUAGCCUUGAUAUGUACAUAAAUGCCUGGAUAUAAUUUAGCCCCCUAUAAAAGCCAUGUUUUGAGAGAUUGCUUAGGAAUAGUUCUAAGCAUCUAAAUUUGAACCCUCUGCUGAUUUUAAAAACAUGUGGGAUUUAUUUUUUGUGUGAGCAUUAAAGCCAGUGUAAUAUAAGAUUUGAAGUCCAGAGGAUAAAACAGCUCUUACUUGUUUAAAAGUUAACCUUUAAGAAGUGAUAUUAUUUUACUUUUUCUGCCAAUCUUAAUUCUGUAGGGUUUAUUUGUUUUGAUUUGUCUUUUAAUUUUCAAAUUCUUUUUUUUUUUUUUGGUACCGGGGAUUGAACCUGGGACCUUGCGCUUUUGAGGCAGGUGCUGGAACCACUGAGCUAAAUCCCUGGCCCCUGUCUUUUAAUUUUCC
ensembl:lncRNA